rnacentral:rRNA from 1 species
AGUGAACGCUGGCGGCAGGCCCAACACAUGCAAGUCGAGCGGCAGCGGGUUCCCGCGAGGGGAUGCCGGCGAGCGGCGGACGGGUGAGGAACACAUCGGAAUCUGCCUGGUUGUGGGGGAUAACGUAGGGAAACUUACGCUAAUACCGCAUGCGACCCUGAGUCGACGGACUGGGGGUGAAAGUGAGGGACCUUCGGGCCUCACGCGACCAGAUGAGCCGAUGUCGGANAGCUAGUUGGCGGGGUAACGGCCCGCCAAGGCGACGAUCCGUAGCUGGUCUGAGAGGAUGAUCAGCCACACUGGGACUGAGGACACGGCCCAGACUCCUACGGGAGGCAGCAGUGGGGAAUCUUGGACAAUGGGCGCAAGCCUGAUCCAGCCAUG